rnacentral:rRNA from 1 species
GACGUAGGGCGCGAGCGUUGUCCGGAUUGAUUGGGCGUAAAGAGCUCGUAGGCGGCUCGUUGCGUCGGCUGUGAAAACCCGCAGCUCAACUGUGGGCCUGCAGCUGAUACGGGCGGGCUGGAGUUCGGUAGGGGAGACUGGAAUUCCUGGUGUAGCGGUGAAAUGCGUAGAUAUUGGAGGAACACCGGUGGCGAAGGCGGCAUCCUGGACCAAUAUUGACGCUGAGGAGCGAAAGCCAGGGGAGCAAACGGG